rnacentral:tRNA from 1 species
GGGGGUGUAGCUCAGUUGGUUAGAGCGCCUGCCUGUCACGCAGGAGGUCGCGAGUUCAAGCCUCGUCACUCCCGCCA